ACUCAAAUGAAUAGACGGGGACCCGCACAAGCGGUGGAUGAUGUGGAUUAAUUCGAUGCAACGCGAAAAACCUUACCUACCCUUGACAUGGUUCAAAUCUGCAAGAGAUUGCGGAGUGCUCGCAAGAGAAUGGAUACACAGGUGCUGCAUGGCUGUCGUCAGCUCGUGUCGUGAGAUGUUGGGUUAAGUCCCGCAACGAGCGCAACCCUUAUCAUUAAUUGCCAUCAUUAGGUUGGGCACUUUAAUGAGACUGCCGGUGACAAACCGGAGGAAGGUGGGGAUGACGUCAAGUCCUCAUGGCCCUUAUGGGUAGGGCUUCACACGUCAUACAAUGGUGCAUACAGAGGGAAGCGAAGUCGCGAGGCGGAGCCAAUCUCAAAAAGUGCAUCGUAGUCCGGAUUGGAGUCUGCAACUCGACUCCAUGAAGUUGGAAUCGCUAGUAAUCGCGGAUCAGCAUGCUGCGGUGAAUACGUUCCCGGGUCUUGUACACACCGCCCGU
rnacentral:rRNA from 1 species